AUUGACAAUGGCCAGCCGAGCCUGGAAGUACUGAGGGGAGAUGGGCAGGGAAGCCCCGGUCAGCGCCAGGUGUGACCAGGGCCAGGUGUGACCAGGGCCAGAUGGUGACCAGGGCCAGGUGUGACCAGGGCCAGGUGUGACCAGGGCCAGGUGUGACCAGGGCCAGAAGGUGACCAGGGCCAGAUGGUGACCAGGGCCAGGUGUGACCAGGGCCAGAUGGUGACCAGGGCCAGGUGUGACCAGGGCCAGGUGUGACCAGGGCCAGGUGUGACCAGGGCCAGAAGGUGACCAG